CAUGAGCAUGUCGACUGGAGGAGUAGUGCCGGCUCCGCUCUGCCAGGGCUUUCUGAAGAAACGGAAAGACAAAAUGAGGCUUCGGUGGGUGACUUACUGGUUCAGGCUUUACAAUACAACUCUCUUUUUCUACACUAAAAAACACGGGAGUGCUUUAGACCUCAGGGGCCAGUAUUACAUAUAUGAGGUUCAGUCUGUGCGGGAGGUCAGCAGAUCGGAGAACAAUCGCUAUCUGUUUGAGAUCACAAUGAAAAAUGGGAAGAAGAAAAUGCUGGCGAGUUUUCACGUUGAUCAAGAGAGAGUCUGUAAUCUGUGUUUGAGGAUGUGGUCUCCCAGUAACCACUUGUGAACAAUGUUACUUUGUUGAGACCAAGGCAGGACUGUCAUAGUUUCAAAAAGGAACAUGGAUUGCACUUAUUGUGACUGAAAGAAUUAUGAAUACUCUCUUUAUGCCCCUUUUGCCCAUAAACAUCUAAGAACUUUGUACUACCAGGCUGCAGAUACAGCUGAUGUCAGGCAGGAGUGGAUGGAGCAGCUGUGGAAAGCCAUGCUGCUCAAUGGCCCAGACAGAUCUGGAUCUCUCACCGAUGGGUACCACUGCUCUUUAUGACACUUCUCGUCAGUGGUUGUUUUUGUAUGAGAUUAAUAAUGCUCUGAAUGUGUUUUGUGUGUUAUUGAGAUUAGGGAGCUGGUGCCAGAUAACAACCCUGAAAUUCGGUCUAGCCGGUGUGAAGAAUCAAAUAAUGAGACCAGCAGCACUUCAGUGAGCAGCAUUGAUCAAGAGUCAUUCGAGUCCUUCGCUGGUACGUCCCACAUUUGGGAUGCGACUUUCUCCAGUUCCA
rnacentral:lncRNA from 1 species